rnacentral:misc_RNA from 1 species
UUUCCGUAGGUGAACCUGCGGAAGGAUCAUUGCCACACACGAUCCAAGAUCGACACUUAUUGUGAACCGUAACCGUGAUUUUACUAACCGUUUGACUGAGGAAGUGACUUCGGUUGCUACUUCAUUAGGUUGGUAAUAUUUUAAACACCCCAUAACAUGACCUAUGCAUUGGAACAUAAAUGCUAUUGACAAGUUCGUCUUGUUAUAGCGCUAGAUUGAAAUUUAAAAGACAACUUUUAACAACGGAUAUCUAGGUUCUU